UUAUUUGUUUUACAAAUGAAUAAACUGACAUUAAUUCAGUUGAUAUGAAGUUAUUUUGUACAUAAAAGAAUCAUUUUUGUUUGUUUGAGUCAGUAACGAGGACCUGUUGAAUUGACUUUACGGUUUAUGGUCGAUGGCAACAAAAUAACUGAAAAUGCGUGGUUAUGAAACGGCUCUGUAACGAAAUGACCGACAAUUGUUGUAUUGGAGUUAAAUUACAGUAUUGGAGUUCAGAAUAUCCAGUCACCAAGAUGAAACUGUACUCAAUAAUGGUUACAAAUCUUGCUGGGCUUAAUCUGUACUAUAUUGGGAUGUUCUCUGUUCUAGUAUUUGUGUGUAUUUUACCUUGCAAGAUUAUGAAAGUCAACACAUAAAUGGCUGGUAUAUUAGAUAGUAAGUAAAGUUUUCUACAAUUCAUCAUAAAGCUAUGUAUACAGUACAUUUUGAUAUUUACAACACUUUGUUUGUUCACCAUAUAGCAGAAUGGCAGCUCGAGAGUUUGAGAAAGAAUGGACUACUUGGAAUUGACAAAUGAUGAGCUGCAGAAAAGACACCGUGUCAACCAUGCCACUUUGGCAUAUAUUAUUGCGCAGCUGGAUGCUGCCUUAGCACCAAAGACUGAUAGGAGCCACAACCUAUCUACUGGCUUCAAAGUAUUGAUAAGACUGUGGUACCUAGCUACCGGUAUGAUUCAGCUGAACACUGGUGAUCUUCACUCCGUAGCUCAAUCCAGUGUUUCAAGAGCAGUCAGCCAAACACUUUAUGCGCUGAGCUCCCCAAAUGUGUCAGUAGACAUAUUAAAUUUCCCACAACCAUCCAGUCACUGAACAACAAUAAACAAGGAUUUUUUCACAUUGCUAGAUUCCCAAACGUAAUCGGCGUCAUAGAUGGGACUCGUCUACAGAUUGAGGCACCAUCCAUUGAUGAACCGAUGUACGUUAACAGAAUGGAGUACCAUUCCAUCAGCACACAGAUAUUGUUUGAUCAUAAUGAUAUGAUCAUGGACAUUGUCGCCAGAUGGCAAGGAAGUACCCAUGAUAGUAGAAUCCUUCGAGGAAGUGGGCUGUGGCAAGUGUUUGAGAGAAACCUGCUUCCACAGAAUUACCACUUUCUUCUGGGUGAUGGUGGGUAUCCGUGCAAACGCUGGCUGUUGACGCCUUAUGUAAGACCUGCUAAUAAUGCUCUGGAAGCGUAUAACAGCCGUUGCUGACAUAUCCAGGGAUCUUCCAAAGUCAUGCAGCCUGUAUUACAUUGGCAGUGGACAGUGCCCAGUGGUGAGUGCAGUCAGUCUGGAUCCGUUGUAGGAGAAGAGCCCAACCGACACCCCUCCUGCACCCAUAACCAAGU